AGGGCUGUGGCUCAGUGGUGAGAGCAUCUGCUUUGCACGCAGAAGGUCCAAGGUCCAGUCCCCAUUGGAUUCGAACCCGGGGCAACCUAGUCCUA